UGUCUGCUAAUUUUUCGUUUUUCCGUGUCCAACAUUUGACCAUUCGUCUUAUUUGAAAUUUUUUUACGAUUAAUAUUUUUAUUAUUACUAGAUAAUAAAAUAUGAAUAAUACUUUAUACGUGACUAAUUUUUUAAAGUUUUUAUACAAUUUUUUAAAUAAGACGAAUAGUCAAAUGUUGGACACGGAAAAAC
rnacentral:pre_miRNA from 1 species